rnacentral:sRNA from 1 species
GUUUGUUGCUCUUUUGACUUAACAAUU